rnacentral:rRNA from 1 species
GAUGAACGCUGGCGGCGUGCCUAAUACAUGCAAGUCGAGCGAACGGACGAGAAGCUUGCUUCUCUGAUGUUAGCGGCGGACGGGUGAGUAACACGUGGAUAACCUACCUAUAAGACUGGGAUAACUUCGGGAAACCGGAGCUAAUACCGGAUAAUAUUUUGAACCGCAUGGUUCAAAAGUGAAAGACGGUCUUGCUGUCCCUUAUAGAUGGAUCCGCGCUGCAUUAGCUAGUUGGUAAGGUAACGGCUUACCAAGGCAACGAUGCCUAGCCGACCUGAAAGGGUAAUCGGCCACACUGGAACUGGGAAACGGUCCAGACUCCUACGGGAGGCAGCAGUAGGGAAUCUUCCGCAAUGGGCGAAAGCCUGACGGAGCCACGCCGCGUGCGUGAUGAAGCUCCUCGGAUCGUAAAACACUGUUAUUAGGGAAGAACAUAUGUGUAAGUAACUGUGCACAUCUUGACGGUACCUAAUCAGAAAGCCACGGCUAACUACGUG